rnacentral:rRNA from 1 species
GAUGAACGCUGGCGGCGUGCCUAAUACAUGCAAGUCGAACGCUGGAGAUCUAGCUUGCUAGAUCGAAGGAGUGGCGAACGGGUGAGUAAUACAUAAGCAACCUACCCACGAAGACUGGGAUAAUCUCUGGAAACGGGGACUAAUACCGGAUAGGUAAUCGGAAGGCAUCUUCUGGUUAUUAAAGGUUAAAAACACUGGUGGAUGGGCUUAUGGCGCAUUAGUUAGUUGGUGAGGUAACGGCCCACCAAGACGAUGAUGCGUAGCCGGCCUGAGAGGGUGAACGGCCACAUUGGGACUGAGACACGGCCCAGACUCCUACGGGAGGCAGCAGUAGGGAAUUUUCGGCAAUGGGGGCAACCCUGACCGAGCAACGCCGCGUGAGUGAAGACGGCCUUCGGGUUGUAAAGCUCUGUUGUAAGGGAAGAACGGUAGAUAGAGAAUAUCCAAGUGACGGUACCUUACCAGAAAGCCACGGCUAACUACGUG